rnacentral:lncRNA from 1 species
AGAAAACAUGUUAAAUUUUCGCCUGGUUGUUUGCUUGCAUAGUUUUCCAGAAAGUAGGAAUUCAAACUGUGUCAUAACGUCAAUUGCACCAAUUAAAAUUUGCCAUCAGUCAACGACACUUUUUAGAUAGGCGCUUCUUUACAAUUAUAGAUUUCUUUUCAACAGCCAUGGAUUCAAAACAUAUAGCUAAUUCUUGACAAGCUGUGAUACACGGUUUCAACAAUUACAUAUACAUCUGAAAAUUAUCCUUUCUGUAAUAAUCCACAAUGGAUUAAAACAAUGAGAUAAGAAGAACUUGAGGAGAGGAAGAGAGUUUGGGGAAGGAGGAAGAGAGAAAGAAGAAGGAGAAGAAGAAGAGGAGGAGAAAUUGCGGGAGAUCAGGGAGUAUUCUAUUCACCAAUCUAUUUUCCGAUUCAUCUUUACAGCUAUUUAUAUAGUCUCUACAAUUCUUAGGCCCAGCUGUGAGGUGGUCUCCAGGUUGAGAUGGGGCAUCCACGCCUGUCUCUCCUCCUCUGUUAUUCAUACUUGGCCAAUCACUCUUUAUCUCUUAUUCCUUACGGUUUUCAAACACUACCAUAAUUUCAAAAAAGUGGAUCUUCCUGUUUCUAAUUGGGAAAAUGAAACAUGAAUUGAAAUGGAUGAAGAUGACUAUGUGGGAGAAA